UGUGCACACCUACGAAUGCUUAUCCAUUU
rnacentral:piRNA from 1 species